rnacentral:lncRNA from 1 species
AGAAUGGAUCAAGUAGUGCCAAGUGCAGGAAGGUCAGGGCAUUUGUGAUGUCAACACUAGAACUGUCCCAGGAGUUGUUUAAACCCUAAUUGAGUCCUUGCCCGUUGGCCAGACACUUUUCCCUGAGCCUUCAGAUGCUCCUGCUGAGGAAUUUGGGGACCUGCAAUUGAUCUCAUUCCAGCUCUGCUCCCAGCUUGUUGGAUGACCAGUUCCUGCCCUGCUAGGCUCUAAAAGGAGGCCAGAACAAGUAAGAUCCUGCAUGGGAGAGUAUGUGUGUGGGGAGGCCCUGGCACAAAAGGAGCCCCUUGCGGCAACAGCACUGCCUGCCCAGAAAAAUGCUGGAGGCUAGGUGUGGCCCCAGGCCUGGGGACCUGUUUUUCCUGUUUCCUGCAGAGUUCCCUGCAGCCCAGUCCAGGUGUGUGCAUUCAUGAAUGAGGAACCCGAGCAGGCACUGAGCAUCCUGACCUGGAGAGCGGGGGCUGGUCAGGUACGUGUGGCGGGGGGGCGGGUGCGCUGGCUGGGAGGUGAGAGCCGGUGCGUGUGCUGUUGUGCCUGUGUCUGCCCUGAACUGGCUUAGAUCAAGGGGAUCCAAAGGCAGGUGCCCUGCUCUGCUCCCUCAUCCCAGGCUGUGAUGAAUUCAGGCUUUGAAGUCAGAUAGCUUUGGGUGUCAAGUCUAAUUUUUCCAAUGCCUGGCAGUGUAACCUUGUACAAAUAGCUUAACCUCUAUGGCAAUAUCUACCAAGGGGUGGGGAUGGGGGAUGACGAUGCUGUGUGAAAGCUGCUCAGCCCAGGUCUGGCCCCUACAAAGCAGGGUGGGUGGAGAAUCCUAAUCAGACUGACCCAGGUUCUGAGCCAGAUAAAAACCUGUGGCAGGUCUCAGACAGCCAACCCAUCUCCAGUGCGCCCAUGUCCAAUCCCCUCCCGCUGGCACUUCCCUGACCUGUCCAGAGAAAGGCAGAGUCUCCUGGGCUCCUGUGGCAGUUGAAGGAGAGACAGUCUAGGGACAUAAGCAGGUUCCAGGUGGGCCAGGACCCCUAGAGGGGCUGGGUUGUCCCCUGGUUACUUAGGGUCAGCAGCUAAGAAACCUUUAAGCAUUCUUGUCCUUGAGAGGCCCUCAGAGAAGCAAGUAAUUUGUAAGUAAUUUGAUCAAGGUUACAGCACUGGAGAUGGGCUGCAAAUCCUAUUCAGGUACAUCCCACAGUGGAAGUGGCUGAAGGAGGGAGGUAGUGACCUCCCUGUUUAUGGGAGUGUGCAGAAGCUGCAGAGGGCUUGUGCCUGUGUGUGCCUCCUCUGGGCCCCCAUAGCCUCUUGUGCUUGAUUCAUUCAUUCAUUCAUUCAUUCAUUCAUUCUCUCGUUCCUGUAAUCCUCCUGUGGUCGGGCCUCCUGCUGGAUGAUAGGGGCAGAGAAAAGCAUCAGAUGGACCCAGCCUUCAAAGAGCACCUGAAAUGUGUCGGGGUACAGGAUGGAAGGACAAAUUACCAACUGGCUGAGAAACAUCCUAAGGGGUGAUGGAAGGGAGAGCUUCAGAGAUUAGAAGAUCCUUUGGGACGUACGAAGGAGUGCAGUGUGGGUGGGUUCAGGGAAGGCU